rnacentral:rRNA from 1 species
CCUAGGGUGGCUGCAGUGGGGAAUAUUGGACAACGGGGGGAACCCUGAUCCAGCGACGCCGCGUGAGUGAAGAAGUAUUUCGGUAUGUAAAGCUCUAUCAGCAGGGAAGAAAGAAAUGACGGUACCUGACUAAGAAGCCCCGGCUAACUACGUGCCAGCAGCCGCGGUAAUACGUAGGGGGCAAGCGUUAUCCGGAUUUACUGGGUGUAAAGGGAGCGUAGACGGUUACGCAAGUCUGGAGUGAAAGGCGGGGGCCCAACCCCCGGACUGCUUUGGAAACUGUAUAACUGGAGUGCAGGAGAGGUAAGUGGAAUUCCUAGUGUAGCGGUGAAAUGCGUAGAUAUUAGGAGGAACACCAGUGGCGAAGGCGGCUUUCUGGACGACAACUGACGCUGAGGCGCGAAAGUGUGGGGAGCAAACAGGAUUAGAUACCCCAGUAGUC